UGGGAGUAGGACCAACAGGGAUUGCCCUAGUAACGGCGAGUGAAGCGGCAACAGCUCAAAUUUGAAAUCUGGCGCAAGCCCGAGUUGUAAUUUGUAGAGGAUGUUUCUGGCGACGUGCCUUCCGAGUUCCCUGGAACGGGACGCCAUAGAGGGUGAGAGCCCCGUACGGUUGGAUGCCUAGCCUCUGUGAAACUCCUUCGACGAGUCGAGUAGUUUGGGAAUGCUGCUCUAAAUGGGAGGUAUACGUCUUCUAAAGCUAAAUACCGGCCAGAGACCGAUAGCGCACAAGUAGAGUGAUCGAAAGAUGAAAAGCACUUUGAAAAGAGGGUUAAAAAGUACGUGAAAUUGUUGAAAGGGAAGCGUUUAUGACCAGACUUGGGCAGGUUGAUCAUCCGUGGUUCUCCGCGGUGCACUCUGCCUGCCCAGGCCAGCAUCAGUUUUCCCCGGGGGAUAAAGGUUUCGGGAAUGUGGCUCCUCCGGGAGUGUUAUAGCCCGUUGCGUAAUACCCUGGGGUGGACUGAGGUUCGCGCAUUGCAAGGAUGCUGGCGUAAUGGUCAUCAACGACCCGUCUUGAAACACGGACCAAGGAGUCGUCUUCGUAUGCGAGUGUUCGGGUGUCAAACCCCUACGCGUAAUGAAAGUGAACGUAGGAGAGAGCUUCGGCGCAUCUCCGACCGAUCCUGAUGUUCUCGGAUGGAUUUGAGUAAGAGCAUACGGGGCCGGACCCGAAAGAAGGUGAACUAUGCCUGUAUAGGGUGAAGCCAGAGGAAACUCUGGUGGAGGCUCGCAGCGGUUCUGACGUGCAAAUCGAUCGUCAAAUAUGGGCAUGGGGGCGAAAGACUAAUCGAACCUUCUAGUAGCUGGUUUCCGCCGAGUCCCCCUCCAGAGAGUAUAAAAAAACAA
rnacentral:rRNA from 1 species